rnacentral:tRNA from 1 species
GGAGAUAUACCUCACUAGGUUGAGUGCUUGCCUCUCAUGCACAAGGCCCUGGGUUCAAUCCCCAGCACCACCA